ACCAAGAAGCCCUGAACUCUCACAAUUAGUGGUACAUUUGUGAACAGUUUAUUGGCGUAAAUAUUUUUUAAUAAAAGUGUGAUCUUUUUAUCAUAGUCACAGAAGAGUCAGUAUACAAUCAAUUUAAUACUUGCUAUUCUUGUUAAUUUGUGUUGUUCGGUUUUUGACAUGUCAAAAAUGUAUAUUGCCAUAGUGCAUCCUCAUACCAUGGCCUAUUCGUGCUGUUAUAUUUAAUGAAUGGAUAUGAAACAGUAGGCUUGCUCGAUCACACCCUUCUUGAAUUUACAAUAGUUUCAUAAUGAAGCUCUUGGUCGUAUUUGGCGAGAGAUAUGUGGUCAUGUCUUACUUAACAGUAAGCAAAGCGUAAAAUUGGAUUUGUGAUGGUAGUUUUCUGCUUUGGUGCAUUCAGAAAAUUCCAUCAUGACCGGAGCUUCCAUAUAAAACGUCGAUUGUUCGUUUAGGGAAUACCCUGGAAGAUUUUUA